UUACGGCUGGUUAGCCCCCGGCUGCCUGGUUACUGCCGCUGUGCUGCUGCUGCUGCUUCGCUGCCGCUUUACUGCUGUUAUUGAACGCCUCCGCUGCUUCCGCUGUUUGCCGGCCUGCUUCGGGGUGCGGUUGGCUGCCUCACGCCGACUCCCCUUUGUUGACUUUGUCCCCCCAGCAGCCGUGCGAGGUGCGGAGCGAGUGCGUUACCCGGGUGGACGCGACUGCGAGUCCCCGGUUCGGACUGUGUGUGAGGAUGUGUGUUUGACAUUUUAAAGGCACUCUGUGAAGGUCGCUCAUUCAUUUCGUUUUGUUCUUUUUGGGUAAUUUCUUGGUUUGGUUGUUUUAUUUAUUUGUUUUGUUUAAGUGAUUUGUUUAUUUUUGGGAAUGUACUUAUUAUACUUUAACGGGUAAUGUUUUAGUUUGAGUUCCUUUUUGUUAGUGGUUUAAAUGAAUUAACUUUUGGUUUCCUGAGUUUAUCUCUGGCCAGAGAGUCGUUAAUGUUUCCUUUGUUUGAUUUCUGAUUCAUUUUGAACAUUAUUACCCAGUUAAAUUGAUUAGUUAUUGAUUUGGUUAUGUUUGGUGUGUUUUCUUUAUGAGCCCCUUUCCCUAAUUGUGUUUCUUUUCCCCCUACAGAGCUGACGGCCAACGGUGGUGGUGGUGGUCCUCCAAGGUGGUGGUGAUCCCUGAGUGUGUGCAUUUUAUUUGACUCCCCGUUUGAAGAUUUAUUUGUGUGCACCUUAUGUUUGCUGUGAGUGGGGUGUUCUCUUUUCUUUGGACGUCACCAGUUUUGACCCCUCCUCUAGCCCGUACGCCUCAGCCUGUAUCCCCGUUUCAGUUGGGCUACGUUAUCAUCUUAUUUGCAUCUCAUUAAUUAUGUCGACC